rnacentral:rRNA from 1 species
UAGGGAAUCUUCCACAAUGGACGCAAGUCUGAUGGAGCAACGGCCGCGUGAGUGAAGAAGGUUUUCGGACCGUAAAGCUCUGUUGUUGGUGAAGAAGGGUAGAGGUAGUAACUGGCCUUUAUUUGACGGUAAUCAACCAGAAAGUCACGGCUAACUACGUGCCAGCAGCCGCGGUAAUACGUAGGUGGCAAGCGUUGUCCGGAUUUAUUGGGCGUAAAGCGAGCGCAGGCGGAAGAAUAAGUCUGAUGUGAAAGCCCUCGGCUUAACCGAGGAAUUGCAUCGGAAACUGUUUUUCUUGAGUGCAGAAGAGGAGAGUAGAACUCCAUGUGUAGCGGUGGAAUGCGUAGAUAUAUGGAAGAAUACCAGUGGCGAAGGCGGCUCUCUGGUCUGCAACUGACGCUGAGGCUCGAAAGCAUGGGUAGCGAACAGGAUUAGAUACCCUGGUAGUCCAUGCCGUAAAACGAUGAGUGCUAAGUGUUGGGAGGCUUCCGCCUCUCAGUGCUGCAGCUAACGCAUUAAGCACUCCGCCUGGGGGAGUACGACCGC